rnacentral:rRNA from 1 species
AAUCUUCCGCAAUGGACGAAAGUCUGACGGAGCGACGCCGCGUGAGUGAUGAAGGUCUUCGGAUCGUAAAACUCUUUUGUUAGGGAAGAAUAAGUAUAAGCCGAAUAACCUUAUACCUUGACGGUACCUACCCAGAAAGCCCCUGCUAAGUACGUGCCACCAGCCGCGGUAAUACGUUGGGGGCGAGCGUUGUCCGGAAUUACUGGGCGUAAAGGGUGCGUAGGCGGCCCUUUAAGUCAGAUGUGAAAGGCCACGGCUUAACCGUGGGAUUGCAUUUGAAACUGGAGGGCUUGAGUGUCGGAGAGGGUAGUGGAAUUCCCAGUGUAGCGGUGGAAUGCGUAGAUAUUGGGAGGAACACCAGUGGCGAAGGCGACUACCUGGACGAUAACUGACGCUGAGGCACGAAAGCUAGGGGAGCAAAC